AAACAUGAUUUUAUUUAUUGAUUUUUAAAAAAUAUUUUUAAUGUAGUACAGUAUUUUCAGAUACUGUGAAUGAGUGGAUAUUGAUCUAGUGGAUACGAGGGCCCUACUGUAUAAACGUGAGUUCAGAACAUGUUUUCAUAAGAGUCUUAAAUGUGUCUCCUAACUAUAGAACUGAGGAAUUCAAAAGAAAUGUUGGAAGCAAAACAACAGCGUUCCCACUUAACAAGAUACAGGAUUAAAAGCACCAAGUAAUGCCCAGACAACCCCAUUUCAUCCAAGAGCAUCUUAAGGUGUAUAAUUUAAAAACCUGCGCAUAAAUCAGAUCCUCCAAUAAUUGCCAUCCUAUCCAUCUGUCGUCAUUACGUGCUAUCAUGUUGCUUUCAAAUUAUGAUGAUCUAUGAAUAAGCGAUCUUCAAAAUGUCCUGUCCUCAACAGUCCUGCUCAGCUCUUCAAACUCAACCCUGUGGCUUUCUUUAGGGAGUUUAUCCAUAUCUUAUUUGGUCUUCAUUUAUAUGACAUAUAAUACUACUCAAUAUAAAACAAUCAGUGUUUGUCUAUCACUUUUAUGAUUAUUUAUGACUUGUCCCUGCAAAUACUGUGACCAGAGCAUCUAAUCGUACUAAAAGAAAGUGUUGUAACAUCUGCCACCACCCAGGUGAAAUAUCCUGGGCGAGAUUGUUGGUUUCUGUAAAAAAAAAAUUUAAAGGAUCAGAUUUUCCACCUAUCUUAGUAUAGGAUUUUUUUUUCCUUCAGAAGCAUGCAACUAUAAACAGUUAAAAUUCAAAAUUUUGCUGAGCAACACAAACCAGUCACUGAAAUAUCUUGUUAGUGGAUGCUUAAAAUGUUCUCGAUAUGAAAAUCUGUUUAUUCUCUUUAAGGUAGUCCCCUGAAUCCACAAAGAGAGUUCCAUAUGCAGGAACAGCCUUUCAUCUCUAUACUGAUGGAGUGUAUCUUGAUGCACACAGCUCUCUGAGCUCUAUUAAACUGGCUGGACGUGUCCUUUAAUGUCAGUGGGGAUGUGAAGCUGCAUCCAAGACCAACAAUUGGUAUGCAUGACUAGUUGCCUGAGAUUAGAUCUGGAUUGGGGCCAAUGACUUUUCAGCGCCCUUUAUUGAAUUACAGCUCUUCUGAUGGUAUUUGUUCCCAUGAUCAAGUCUGAAAUUGUAACUCCCCUCCCCCACAAUUAAAACAUACAUAUUACAAAGCCGGUUUUGCCAAGGUAUAUAAAUAAAUGAAAUACUAUGUGCUUAUCAAGUGUAACUUGCUUGCUUCUAAGAAAUGACUGCAUGAUGAUGUUUGAAGUAAUCCCAAAGCACAACAAACAGCAGGAGCCAAGGCAACAAAUUUCAGUUACUGUUCCAGAAUGGAUUAAAAAGCACAGACCAUGUCUCUCUCUCUGAACAGAAAAGGAGAUUCAACAUUUGUAACUCAAGAGAUGUCUACAAUGGAACACGCUUUUAUCAGCAUAUCCAAAAUGCAUACCCAUUAUUUCGGCAGUAGCAUCUGGCAAAAUUUUUUGAUGAUAAACCAGUUCAAGUAAUAUGGAUGAGUUAAUUUCAAAAUCCUGGCUCCAUGAGUUGAACAAACAACUUUCAACUUAUAAUAUUUCAAAUUAACAACAACAAUGUGGCUUUCAGUAAAGCCUUUUAAAUCUGUA